CCUACGGGAGACAGCAGUGAGGAAUAUUGGUCAAUGGGCGCGAGCCUGAACCAGCCAAGUCGCGUGAAGGAUGACGGCCCUAUGGGUUGUAAACUUCUUUUAUAAAGGAAUAAAGUCAGGCACGUGUGCCUUGUUGUAUGUACUUUACGAAUAAGGAUCGGCUAACUCCGUGCCAGCAGCCGCGGUAAUACGGAGGAUCCGAGCGUUAUCCGGAUUUAUUGGGUUUAAAGGGUGCGUAGAUGGGUUGUUAAGUCAGUUGUGAAAGUUUGCGGCUCAACCGUGGAAUUGCAAUUGAUACUGGCAGCCUUGAGUACAGUUGAGGUAGGCGGAAUGCAUGGUGUAGCGGUGAAAUGCUUAGAGAUCACGAAGAACACCGAUUGCGAAGGCAGCUUACUAAACUGCCACUGACGUUGAGGCUCGAAAGUGUGGGUAGCAAACAGGAUUAGAUACCCGGGUAGUC
rnacentral:rRNA from 1 species